rnacentral:rRNA from 1 species
UUGGGAAUCUUGCACAAUGGGGGAAACCCUGAUGCAGCGACGCCGCGUGGAGGAUGACGGGUCUAGGCCUGUAAACUCCUUUUAUCGGGAAAGACUUAGGACGGUACCCGAUGAAUAAGGACCGGCUAACUACGUGCCAGCAGCCGCGGUAAGACGUAGGGUCCGAGCGUUGUCCGGAUUUACUGGGCGUAAAGAGCGCGUAGGCGGAUCGUUAAGUGUGAAGUGAAAUCUCCAGGGCUCAACCCGGAAACUGCUUCGCAUACUGGCGAUCUGGAGGAAUGGAGAGGUGAGUGGAAUUCCUGGUGUACCGGUGAAAUGGGUAGAUAUCAGGAGGAACACCCAUGGCGAAGGCAGCUCACUGGCCAUUAUCUGACGCUGAGGCGCGAAAGCGUGGGUAGCAAACAG